AAUGGUCCUUGAUUAAAUUAUUUAGUGGUUGGUUGGUUGAUUAAAGUAUCAAAACUCAAAUCAAGACUACUUUAUACUAGUAAUGAUAAUGACUUGAUCAACUUCAUUUUUGCUACAACACUAAGUGCAUUUUGGAAUAUGCACUACACCUACAACUUAUAUACUACUAUGAUUGUGAAAUAACACCAAAUGUGAGUUGAUGUGGGUUUUUGGAUUUGUACUAAUAUUAUUUUUCUUACCCAAUAUAGGUGUAAUGUGUGAAAUGAAUUUGAUGCAGUAAGACAGAAGCUGAAAUUGCUGCAUUCACACAAGAAGUUAUUGCUUGGCAUAAACUGAUCAUCCUGAUGUCACAGAAGGCCCUCGGCGAUUACCGAAGCAGAGACAACCAUGUUGCUGAUCAAAAGGGAUCAUACCUCCACCUUUGGAUGUGUCAAUAGCCUCCAACAUGGCAACUACCUCAUCCAUUUCAGGUCGCUUAUCGGGAUUCGCAUCCCAGCAUCUUUUCAUUACAUUUGCCACAGAACUUGGACAGCAUCUUGGUAUUUCAGGUCUAGCAUUCUGAAAGUUCAAUACAAACUAGUAUAUUAAUAACCAUGGAUUCAUUAUGAAAGACGAUCGAAAUCGGAAGAAUAUACAUACCUGGCGAACAACGGCUGAUGUGAUCUCUGAGAAACUGAGGUCAGGAUAUGGCAUGUCACAGCAAUAUAUUUCCCAUAAACAGAUUCCAAAACUAUAUACAUCACAUUUUCUGUUAUAAGGGUUUCCAUUUAAAACCUGUAAAUCAUCAUCCAUUUGUCAAAUAAGUCCCAAGUAAAUUAUUCAGCUUUCUAAGAAAACUGGCCACAAACCUCAGGAGCCAUGUAACCAAGUGUUCCAGUCUCCCCGGUCAUGUCAUUAGGAUUCAAUGCUUCAAUACGCGCAACUCCGAAAUCACCAAUUUUAACCGUUCGCGUCUUAUCCAACAGCAUGUUCUCUGUCUUUACAUCUCUGUGGACAAUCUUCUGAGAGUGAAGAUAAUUCAGUCUGCAAACCCAAGUGAACUCAUUCUAUUUAAGCCGUUGUCGAAACAUAUUAGAUUGAGAAAAUUUUCACAAAAAAAUAAGUACCCUCUAGCCAUAUCAAGUGCUAGCUGGACGACGAUCUUAAAAGCUAACUUCCUCCUCCUAUUCUUUAUUAAGAAAGAUUUGAGUGCGCCUCCGGGAAGAUACUCGACAACCACACAACAGAUAUUGCUCGGCAUGCUAAUUACACCAUUCUCAGUUUGUAUCUGCAAUUCAGAUGACCCCAUUGUUGCCCCUAUAAACUAAACA